UUUGCCAGGGAACGUGUGGACUCAGUCUGUGAAGCAUUUGACACUGACAAGUCAAAGGAAAAACCUUGUAGACGAUGGGGCUGGGGCCCAUGAACAGAGGAUUUUAAGUAUUUCAGGACUUGAAAACCUUUCCUAUCAGUAGAAGGGAAGAGGAGAGGGGGAGGAGGGAGGAAGUUUACUACUAUAUAUUCCUUCAGGUUUCCUGUAUUUGAUACUAAAAAUGACAUUAACUUUUUUUUUUUUUUUUUUUUUUUUUUUAGUUAAUUAAACUGCUCAUUGGCUGAACACAGGGCAGGCUUCAUUUGAGAGCUAGAAAUUAUCAAAACAUUCUCUUUGUCAUUUAGGUAAACUUCCCUAAAACAUAUACUUAUUUUUCUAUAAGCCAUAUUUGGGGAAUAAAGUAAACCGAAAAAUUGGGAUGAGAGAGAGAGAGGUCUUAAAUCUCUGGAUCAUUGUUGGCUUUCACAAAACAAAUUAGACAUUUUCAUCUUAUUGCCAUAGAAACACAACACUACCUCAGAAAGCCAAGCUGCUUUAACAAUAAAUAAAUAAAUACAUCCCAAACCCAAAAAUCAAUGUACAGUGUGGAUAAAAUAUAUUUAAGCAUCUUCAAAGGGGCCAAGUUGUAUAGUUGAGUCUCACAUGUCAUACUUUUGUAGAAUUUUUAUGAGUUUUUUAAUAAAUGCAUUAUGCAGUGCAUAAAGCACGUAUGUGUGUUUUAGUGCCUAAAUUCUAGUACAAGCUUGUUUGAGGGUUGCAGAGACCUUUUGAUUAGAAAUGUAUGACCCAGCGUUCUGCCUCCAGAAAUGAAACGCUGGGAAGAAAAUGUUAUAAUGUCAGCAACAUAAUAAAACAAAUUGUCAUGUAUUUUGUCCUUUGAUCUUGACAAAGUUACUGUUAGACAAUUUCCCUGCUCAUUAAAAAAAUUUGGUUAUUUCUUUU